rnacentral:rRNA from 1 species
GAAACCCGGUGAUCUAGCCAUGGGCAGGUUGAAGGUUGGGUAACACUAACUGGAGGACCGAACCGACUAAUGUUGAAAAAUUAGCGGAUGACUUGUGGCUGGGGGUGAAAGGCCAAUCAAACCGGGAGAUAGCUGGUUCUCCCCGAAAGCUAUUUAGGUAGCGCCUCGUGAAUUCAUCUCCGGGGGUAGAGCACUGUUUCGGCAAGGGGGUCAUCCCGACUUACCAACCCGAUGCAAACUGCGAAUACCGGAGAAUGUUAUCACGGGAGACACACGGCGGGUGCUAACGUCCGUCGUGAAGAGGGAAACAACCCAGACCGCCAGCUAAGGUCCCAAAGUCAUGGUUAAGUGGGAAACGAUGUGGGAAGGCCCAGACAGCCAGGAUGUUGGCUUAGAAGCAGCCAUCAUUUAAAGAAAGCGUAAUAGCUCACUGGUCGAGUCGGCCUGCGCGGAAGAUGUAACGGGGCUAAACCAUGCACCGAAGCUGCGGCAGCGACACUAUGUGUUGUUGGGUAGGGGAGCGUUCUGUAAGCCUGUGAAGGUGGCCUGUGAGGGUUGCUGGAGGUAUCAGAAGUGCGAAUGCUGACAUAAGUAACGAUAAAGCGGGUGAAAAGCCCGCUCGCCGGAAGACCAAGGGUUCCUGUCCAACGUUAAUCGGGGCAGGGUGAGUCGACCCCUAAGGCGAGGCCGAAAGGCGUAGUCGAUGGGAAACAGGUUAAUAUUCCUGUACUUGGUGUUACUGCGAAGGGGGGACGGAGAAGGCUAUGUUGGCCGGGCGACGGUUGUCCCGGUUUAAGCGUGUAGGCUGGUUUUCCAGGCAAAUCCGGAAAACCAAGGCUGAGGCGUGAUGA